UCUUUUUGCUUUAUUAUUUUUGACAACUGGUCAAUAAAAACACUAAACUAAGCAGGGUAGAGCCUGGUCAGUACCUGGAUGGGAGGCUACAGAGAAAAACUAGGUUGCUGUUAGAA
rnacentral:rRNA from 1 species